rnacentral:misc_RNA from 1 species
GUUUUGCUGAUGGAUCUUUAGGUUCCAAUAGUGCACUCUUCUAUGAGCCUUAUAGUGAUGAACCUCACAACUAUGGCUUACAAAUCACAAAUGUCGAAAAUCUUUUCAACAUGACUGUGGCCUCAGAUAAAGCUGGACUUCAGGUGGCAAUUCAUGCCAUAGGCGACAAAGCCAAUGAUAUGGUCCUAGAUAUGUACGAAUCCGUAGUUUUAACAAAUGGAAAAAGGGAUAGAAGAUUUCGGAUUGAGCAUGCCCAGCACUUGUCACCUGGAACAAUUUCUCGGUUUGGUGAGCAAGGGAUCAUUGCUUCAGUACAGCCAGAUCACCUACUGGAUGAUGCUGAUUCUGCAAGGAAAAAGCUUGGUAUGGAUAGGGCUGAAAGGGGAUCUUACCAAUUACAGUCACUCCUAGCUAGCAAUGCUCAGUUGGCAUUAGGUUCUGACUGGCCGGUUGUACAUAUCAAUCCUUUGAGAAGCAUCAAGACUGCAAUGAAAAGAAUACCUCCUGGUUGGGAAAAUGCUUGGAUUCCAUCAGAGUGCCUUUCACUAAAAGAUGCAAUAAUUGCGCACACUAUUUCUGCUGCCUAUGCAUGCUUUCUGGAUGAUGAUCUGGGAUCUUUAUCUCCUGGUAAGCUAGCAGAUUUUGUCAUGCUUUCCACCAGUUCCUGGGAUGACUUUGAAACCGAAGCUUCUGCAUCAGUUGAGGCAACAUAUAUAGCUGGUUCCCAGGCCUAUCCUUGAAAGCACUUUCCAUGAAACAAAUACAAGAUAAAGGUGAAAGAGAGAAUUUGUUUCAGUGGCUUCAUAUAACUGGGAUAGAAACUGGUGGGUAGGAACUUAUUAGGAUAUGGUUGCUUCAGAAGCACUUGUAUUUAGUUCCCUGUAAAAGAAUGUUGAGGCAGAAUUCAUGUAAGUUGUAUUUAAUCCCCAAUAAUCAUAUAUUAAU